rnacentral:tRNA from 29 species
GGCGGAUGUAGCCAAGUGGAUCAAGGCAGUGGGUUGUGAAUCCACCAUGCGCGGGUUCAAUUCCCGUCGUUCGCC